CCUACGGGAGGCAGCAGUGGGGAAUAUUGGGCAAUGGGCGCAAGCCUGAACCAGCAAAGCCGCGUGAAGGAAGACGGCUCUACGGUUGUUAACCUCUUUUUUAAGGGGAGAAUAGAUGCUCCGUGUAGCAUGAUGCCUGUACCUUAUGAAUAAGCAUCGGCUAACUCCGUGCCAGCAGCCGCGGUAAUACGGAGGAUGCGAACGUUAUCCGGGUUUUUUGGGUUUAAAGGGUGCGUAGGCGGUUUUUUAAGUUAGUGGUUAAACGUCGGGGCUUCACCUUGAUUUGCCAUUAAUACUGUAAGACUCGAGUUCAGACGAGGUAGGCGGAAUAAGUUAAGUAGCGGUGAAAUGCUUAGAUAUAACGUAGAACUCCGAUUGCGAAGGCAGCUUACCAGACUGCGACUGACGCUGAAGCACGAGAGCGUGGGUAUCGAACAGGAUUAGAUACCCCAGUAGUC
rnacentral:rRNA from 1 species